GACGAACGCUGGCGGCGCGCUUAACACAUGCAAGUCGAACGGAAAGGCCUGCUUUCCCUUGUGGAUUGCGGGUACUCGAGUGGCGAACGGGUGAGUAACACGUGAGUGAUCUGCCCCCAACUUGGGUAUAAGCCUGGGAAACUGGGUCUAAUUCCCGAUAGGACUGCAGGGUGGUGCCUGUGGUGGAAAACGAUUUUCUAGUGGUUGGGGAUGAGCUCGCGGCCUAUCAGCUUGUUGGUGGGGUAAUGGCCUACCAAGGCGGCGACGGGUAGCCGGCCUGAGAGGGUAGACGGACACUGGGACUGAGAUACGGCCCAGACUCCUACGGGAGGCAGCAGUGGGGAAUAUUGCACAAUGGGCGGAAGCCUGAUGCAGCGACGCCGCGUGGGGGAUGACGGCCUUCGGGUUGUAAACUCCUUUCGACCGCGAGGAAGCCACCUGGUUGGAAGGGUGGUGACGGUAGUGGUAGAAGAAGCACCGGCUAACUACGUG
rnacentral:rRNA from 1 species